rnacentral:rRNA from 1 species
UACGUAGGGUGCGAGCGUUAAUCGGAAUUACUGGGCGUAAAGGGCUCGUAGGUGGCCAACUAAGUCAGACGUGAAAUCCCUCGGCUUAACCGGGGAACUGCGUCUGAUACUGGAUGGCUUGAGUUUGGGAGAGGGAUGCGGAAUUCCAGGUGUAGCGGUGAAAUUCGUAGAUAUUCGCAGGAACACCAGUGGCGAAGGCGGCUCACUGGUCCGAUACUGACGCUGAGGUGCGAAAGCGUGGGGAGCAAACAGG